rnacentral:rRNA from 1 species
GACGAACGCUGGCGGCGUGCUUAACACAUGCAAGUCGAACGGUGAAGGGGCCUGCUUUUGUGGGCCCUGGAUGAGUGGCGAACGGGUGAGUAACACGUGAGUAACCUGCCCCCUUCUUCUGGAUAACCGCAUGAAAGUGUGGCUAAUACGGGAUUUUCUGGGUCUGUCGCAUGAUGGGUCUGGGAAAGAUUGCGCCUUUGGGUGUUUUUGGUGGGGGAUGGGCUCGGCGCCUAUCAGCUUGUUGGUGAGGUGAUGGCCUACCAAGGGGGUGACGGGUAGCCGGAGUGGGAGGGUGGACGGUCAGACAGGGAGUGAGGGUCGAGCCAGACACGUGCGGCAGGAAUCAGUAAGGUAUAUUGCACGAUGGACGCCAGACUGAGGCAGCGCGGGCGCGUGAGGGAUGUAGGCCUUCGGGAUGUAAAUCUCUUUCGCGAGUGAAGCAGGCGUGCGUCUUGGUGGUGGGUUGACGGUAACUUGAUCAGAAGCGCCGGCUUAAUUCGUG